CAUUACUAAUCCUCUUCUGUAUCUUCAAGCUCUCUACGUACCGUAUGAGAACCUAUAUAACCAGCGCCGCCAGUAACCAACACAGUCCCUUCAUGAACACCAGUCUAUGAAUCAUAAUUAGUAUUUUCAUACAAAAGAAUGCUUUUGAUUAAUUAAAAAAGUUAUUCAUACCAUUUUACACGUUAUAAUUUGAUAUUAAAGGGGUGGGCUCAAGACUGUAGCUAUUAUGCUCUUUCUUUGUUGGAUAUUCAGUUUCCUACAUGCUCAAGGUAUCAAUGCAGGUCGUUACCUCCUGUAACCUGACAUGAUGUAAAACGAGCAAAAGCCACAAUGAAGCUUAAGCUAAAAGUGAAAAGUGCUUGUAUAUCUCGCUAAACCAUUUUAUUGAUAUAUCGCUAAAAAAUUCCUAAUCAUAAUAUUAUAUAGUAACAAAGAGGUCGUCGGAAUAAGUGUAUAGCAGAUGAAUGCCUGUGAUUAGGUGUAUGGAUUUUUCAUGUUCAUAAAG